UACGUAGGGUGCGAGCGUUAAUCGGAAUCACUGGGCGUAAAGCGUGCGUAGGUGGCGCAUUAAGUGAGAUGUUAAAUCGUGUGGCUCAACCAUUAUCGAUGCAUCUCAUACUUGGUGUGCUAAGAGGCGGCAGAGGCAGUGGAAAUUGGUAGUGUAGCAGUGAAAUGCGUAGAUAUUACCAGGAACACCAAAUGGCAAGGCAGCUUGCUGGGGCCACUUCUGACACUGAGGUACGAAAAGCGUGGGGGAGCAACGGAUUAGAUUACCCC
rnacentral:rRNA from 1 species